rnacentral:rRNA from 1 species
CCUACUGGAGGCAUCAUUGAGGCAUCUUGGUCAAUGGACGAGAGUCUGAACCAUCCAAGUAGCUUUACUUCUUCCUUCCCUCUUUUUUUUCCCCUUCUUUUCUCUUUUCCUCCCCUGUUCCCCGUGUGGGCUUUUGUAUGUACCCUAUGAAUAAGGAUCGGCUAACUCCGUGCCAGCCGCCGCGGUCCUACGGCGGCUCCGCGCGUUCUCCGGCUGUAUUGGUUGGACCGGGCGCGUAGGUGGUGGGUGAAGUCAGUUGUGAACGUUUGCGGCUCAACCGUACCAUUGCAGUUGAAACUGGCAGUCUUGAGUACAGUAGAGGUGGGCGGAAUUCGUGGUGUAGCGGUGAAAUGCUUAGAUAUCACGAAGAACUCCGAUUGCGAAGGCAGCUCACUGGACUGCAACUGACACUGAGGCUCGAAAGUGUGGGUAUCAAACAGGAUUAGAGACCCCAGUAGUC